ensembl:lncRNA
CAUGGUUCAGGGUAUUUUAAUAUUCAUAGUGGGCUUAACAGUAAUAUCAUUUAACAGUAAUAGACAUCCGAGAUCAAAACGAGAACAAAACUGGGAACAUUAUCCCCAAAAAGGGAGAAGAACAGGGACAUUUCCAGUUUGACUAUCAUUCUGAUUGAUACACCUAAUGUGUAAAUAGUGGCAGUAUAUAUAUAUUUUUUUCAUUCUCUCUCUCUCUCUUUAAUUUCGCAGCCCCCCUCCCAACAUACACACACGGGUCCCAGUACUCUGUCUAAAAUAGCAGGAUGAAAUGAAAAGUGACGGUUUUUAUUUAAACUGCACAUUUACUAUGUUGAAACUCCCUAGAAAAGUCUGCAAACUUAAUGUAGCAAUUUUCAAAACACAGUUACAAAGUGCUUUACAGAACCCAGAGGGAAAGAGAUCAGGGUUAAGACAAUCACAAAGACAUAAUGUAAAGAUACAUUUCACUAUACACAAGCUCACAAACCCAGUGUAAGGCAAAGGAGACCAACAUUUGGAUUCCUGGAGACACACACCAUGAGGCUAGAGUUCAUGAAACACAAACAAACAGAGGUAUUUACAGACCCACCAACACAGCAGUAUUCACAUAUAAUGUGACAGACCACUGUUUCCAGGCAGUUUUAAGCCAUUGCUUUCAGUUUCAGUGUUAAUCUUGUCAGAAUGAUGACAUAUAUGACAUAAAGAUACUAUGUGUGAUGAGUAAGGUUAAAAGUACAGAUAUAAAGCUUAGAAUUAGUUUUUGGAUGCCGGAAUUUAGGAUUAAAGUCUUGAAUUGUCAUGGAACAACACACACACACACGCUCUAAAACCCCUGAAAGAGGACAGUUUUGCAGAGCUUCUUCCUCGUGCUCCCUUUCUGCAGUUCAAGAGAGGUGAGUUUGGCAAUGUGGUGCGGGACUUAUUUUGAGAAACACAGACACAACCAAUGACAACAAGUCAGACUGAUGGUUGUCGAUGCCAAACUGAGUCUCCUCAAUGUGUUCCCCAAGCAAAAAACAUCCUCCGUUCCAAUCUCCUCCCGGACGAUGUGUGUGACUGUCGACACCUCAGGAGCUUGCAUUGGUGAAUCACCCCCUCUGCAGCUCUCAGCACCUUAUUAAAAUAAUAAUGAUAAAAAAAUACAUUAUAUUUAUAUAGCGCUUUACACAGUGCUCAAAGACACUUUACAAAACAGAGAAAAUAAGAACAAAGCAACCUUAAUAUACAAAGAUUAAAAUAAAAAAUAAAAAAAGCCUUCACUGUGCCUUGUGAUGGAAUGACUCGGCCGCCGUUGUUUUUCAGGUUUAGAAGGUGGUAGCUCUUGUCAAAUGACGAUGGUACAGCAUCUCUGACCAAGCUCGCAUGGCACACAUCACAGGACAGUUUUCGUAGAAUCUUCCGGACUACAAACCCUGCUAUGUUGACCAGAGCAUUUGCCACCAGACCACCAAACCGAGUGGGGAGAUAACUGUGGUCACACACAAGGGGCAAAUGUGGGCGAAUGGAGAUGGGUGCUCUUCAGCAGUUUCAGGAGAGGACAUCUCCACUGCAGACAGGGACAGUGUUAUCCUGGGCUGCCACAUUGCCUGUCUCACCAGGUGAGACACCACACCGAACCAUCAGCCGGCAGAAGAUGGCCUGGAACUGGCGUGCCGAUGGAUUGUUAUUCCAGCCGCCUCGUAUGGAAAACAGGCACACAAUACAUACAUUACUCACAAGACAUGAAGCUAUUCAUUAGGUAUAUUUUCCAAAUUAAUUGUAAUUAAAAGAACACCAACCCUACCUGAUGCGCUGAUUGAAUUAAAAAGGAGCCCCAAGCAGUUCAGGAAUCAUCAGCAUCACACGUCGAUAUUGAUGACAAAUCCGAUGACCGACAAGUACCUGCAAAAUAAAAAAGUUGUAUUACUCUGAUCAUGGCAAAGACACCCCAAGAAAGCCCCAUGUGAUUUUGUUAAUACAAAGCAGUAAAGUGCCUAUCACAGGGGUGCAAACUCACAGAGAAUGAAAAUGGGAAACAGCUACCAGGGCAGAUAGAUAAUUAGUUUGCAUCCAUGUUUUUAGGAAUGGGAUCAGUUUCUUGUUUAACUUAUACAGUAUACUUGUACACAAAGGAACAUUAACUUGGAACAAUGUAAUUGCAGAACUGGGAUAACUUGAAAACAACACAUACAUACCAAUCGUUCUGACACCUGCAUAAAGUUGAUGUUGUGUAAUACAUACCAUUUAGAAACAUCUAGGACCUGAAAAACACACUGAAUACAAGAUAAUGCCAAACGAAACAAAACUGCAUAUUGAAAAACAUUUAAACAAGAUAACAUCAUAUCAACAUACAAUACCUAACCUUUUGACACCUGCAUAAAGUUGAUGUUGUGUAAUACAUACCAUUUAGAAACAUCUAGGACCUGAAAAACACACUGAAUACAAGAUAAUGCCAAACGAAACAAAACUGCAUAUUGAAAAACAUUUAAACAAGAUAACAUCAUAUCAACAUACAUACCAAUCGUUCUGACACCUGCAUAAAGUUGAUGUUGUGUAAUACAUACCAUUUAGAAGCAUCUAGGACCUGAAAAACACAUUGAAUACAAGAUAAUGCCAACAGAAACAAAACUGCAUAUUGAAAAACAUGUAAACAAGAUAACAUCCUAUCAACAUACAUACCAAUCUUUCUGACACCUGCAUAAAGUUGAUGUUGUGUAAUACAUACCAUUUAGAAGCAUCUAGGACCUGAAAAACACUAAAUACAAAACAAUUCAGACAAACAAAACUGAAGCAGUUAGGAGCAUCUUAGGAACACAAUAAAUAACAAAAACACAGCAGUAGGCUAGUUCACUACAUAGGAAGCUACUUUAAGUUGUGCUAAUUUGACAUGACAAGAAAAGUGUAGCUUGUGUGGCCAAGCUACUUUGUAAAUAAAGGAGUUACUACUACUGAAAAGUUCCUUGACUCUGGAAAUAGUGAAGCUACCACCAAAAUACUAAGUUACUGGCUAAGCUAGUAUUGCCCAACACUGAUAAUACUGUCUUUUAUUUAUAUAUACGACUAUAUAUGAUACAGUCUGUGCCACUUGUGUAAAAUAAGCUGGCCAAUGUUAUUCCAGUAAUAUUUGUUUUAUUUCUACAAUAGCAUUCUUGUGUCAGUUGUAAUCUAAGCCAGUGUUAUGGAAUAUGACUAAUCAAGUCUCAGUUCAUAGCUGGGUGAACACCGGCUGGUGCAUUACAGUAAUAUCAAAGAUCCUUGCUCCUUCUCAACUCUCUGGUAAUAUUCUAGUCACAAAAUACAACCAAUUAUACGGUAAUGUUAAAUCUUACUUGUGAAAAGUAAUCCCACGAGCCCUGCUUUCGAUGGUCCGCCGAUAUGAGCAGGACUAUGCUCCACAGUGCUCUGGCAUCGUUGUUUCUGCUGCAACGCAAUUAGGAGUACGACCGGUCCAAGAUGGCGGACGUAUUUCCCGCGCCCAGCAGCCAAUGCAGGGUCUACUCUUUAUUAUGUCUAUGCCGGUUUGUGCUGCUUUUGAUUCUCGCGCCAAGCCAGUCACAUGACUCAGUAAUGUCUUAUUAUUGUGAGGGUGAGGGGAGGCUUGCUGUUUUCUUGGCAACAGAUCAUACAGGUCACUCAAUAUUAGGCUAUUUAAUAUGCUAUUAAUCUAUUUACUUAUUCACUUGGCAUAUUUACCACCGGACAUUUUGACAGUUGAUAUUUUAAUCUGUCAGAAUACGGCCUUUGCCGGCUAAUGUAAACCCUGGUGCAGUUUUUCUUAGCUGUAGGCCUAGCAAUUUGGUGUGCAUAAUGAUGGGAAGUCCUGGGUGAUGUGAUCAGGAACCGGUGUGCUUAAUAGUGGAGACCGUGAAAGCGGUGCCAGCAGCCGGAGGCUGGCUUGAUCACAGGUGGCACCGUGACAGUGUAGACUAACUGUAACUCUUCCUUUCCUUUAUUUAUUUAUCAAAUGUAUUGGGUUUACUAAGCAACAGUGCUUUAGGCCUUUGUAAGGCUAUUCAUGCCGAUAUCCUUUGAUCGUAGCGAACUGGUCGACAGUGUCUCUUAUUACCUUGUACAUCAUCAAAAUUAGAUGGAAAUUAAAACUAAAUUCAAAUGGAAUAAUUUGGAAUAAUUUCAGUGUUGUGUAAUUUUCAUUUAGUACAUUUGUGGGGCCUAAUAAACUAAUUAAAAUAUUAUUGACUGUGUGCUUAGAAAUAAUCCUUCUAUGUAGGCUAUUCUUUUUUUGAGUGGGACAUUUUGUGUCCCACUCAAAAAAACAUUCUUGUCUAUAAAAAUAAUUUAUCGAAUGUGGCUCAAAUAUUUUCGACCAGGCAAUGUAAUAAUUGCUACAUCCAGGUGGCCAGAGAUUACCCAGGCAGACACAAAUCACUCGUAAUGGGGGAUACCCCCAGAUAAAGGAUGACGCUCCCUGUCAAUUUAGGCUAUGGUAAUAAUCUAUUUAAUUGUGUUUUCCAACCUUAUACUUUCUUAAAAAUUACCAAAAGAGAGAAAAUAAAUCCUAGCCUCGCUAAUUUGCUUCAGUUCUCAUGGAAACCUCGGGAAUCUCAAUGCAUAUAGACAAAUCAGUCCCAUUUUCUUUACAACUCUAUUUUUAUAUCAGCAGUUGUCACAAAAUGCUUAUACAGAUACCCAGCCUCAAACAACAGUAAGCAACUAGUGUUGGGGCAGGCAGAUUGACAACUGGUGUUGGGGCAGGCAGAUUGACAAUUUAUACUGAGGUAGCCAGAUUGUAUUGAGUGUUAAUUUGAAGGGGGGAAACAGGAUUGUAUCUUGUCAAGGUAGAGAAGCAAAACAACACUGAAUUUCACUGAGGUAUUAAUGCAAGUACUGAGUGUUUGUUUACUUGAAAAGAUAAUUGCUAAAGUGGGCCUGUUGAAAAUUCCGAGGUGCAUGGUGGGCUCCAUCAUUGUGGUGGUCUCCAACCUGAUUUCUUUCUAGAACUGCCAGUCUGGACAAACUAAGUAACAAAGCAAGAAGUGCUUUGGUGAGGUAAGUAAUGAAAAUCACAAUGGCCACUCUACCAGGGCUUCAGAGUUUUUCUUCCAAGAUGGGUGAAACUGCCAGAAUGACCCUUGCACACAGGACCUUAGACUGGGGCGAAGAUUCAUCUUUCAGCAUUACAACAAUCUGAGGCACACAACCAAGACCCCGCUGGAAUGGCUUCAGUACUCCAAGCCUUCAGCACUCCAAGUCUGUGGAUGUCCCUGAGUGGGGACACCUAAAGAUCACAGUUCACUGACGCUACUCAUCCUGACAGAGUUUGAAGGGAUAUGCAAGGAAGAAUGGGCGAAACUGCCAAAAUCCAGGUGUGGAAAGCUGGUAGAGACGUACCCAAUGAGACUGUGAUCUGUUUAUAGACACUGGACACAGCCCACAUGCAUUUAUUAAUUAUUAUCAUUUGUAAUCUUCAGCCGGCACAGCCAGAAGUCUGAUUCCUCUCUAAGUUUCUUCAUAGGGAGUUUUUCCUGUGAAUCAAACCAUGUUUUUGCUUGCGGUUUAGGGUUUCUUGGGUGUCUAUAUAAGCACUUUGACACAAUUGCUGUUGUAAAAAGGGCUUUAGGAAAUAAACUGGAUUGAUUGCUGCCAAAGGCACUUCUCAAGUACUGAACAAAGGGACUGAAUAUGUACAUAAGAUAUCUGAUUUUUAUUUUUAAUAAAAUGGAAAAAUGGUACAAAGGUUUUUAGCAUUUUAUGUGGGUGUGUAGAUUGACAGAAACAGAAAGACAGAAAGUGAAGGGGUCUGAAUAAUUUCUGAAGGCACCGCGAGUGAAAGAAACGUAAGCCGAAUUCCUGCCCCUCACUCAGGAUCUGACAUCAUGAGUUGCUAUCAGCCUCAGUGUGAUGAAGCUCUCUGGCACCCCGUUUGUGAUCAGUUGAUCACGGAUCUGGAAAUUGAACAAGCAGACACAACAGAUAUAUGAUUAUCAGGAGGAUCUGAGGGGAAUCCCGCAGUUGGUUGAAUGUGAAACCAUCUGACAUGGUGGAGUGAUACUGACUUGUGGUAAGACUUCUGUUGUGAUGUUUGCAUCUGUGAGCAAACCUGUAAGCAGUGGCUGAUAGGAAAGUUUUAUGCUCACUACAAGUAUGUGUCCUGUAGAAACAGUCAAAAUGGUUAACAAACACAUAUGCACACAUUAUUUUUGGAGUUUGAACAACCAGUGAACGCCAUACUUACUAGACCUGCUGCUCAGUGUUGUAAUGGUAGUAGAGGUAACUGGAAGAGUGGUGAUUGAGGUGGUUGUGGGAUUGGGGAUUGAGGUGGUUGUGGGAUUGGAGAUUGAGGUGGUUGUGGGAUUGGGGAUUGAGGUGGUUGUGGGAUUGGGGAUUGAGGUGGUUGUGGGAUUGGUGAUUGAGGUGGUUGUGGGAUUGGUGAUUGAGGUGGUUGUGGGAUUGGUAGUUAAGAUGGCUGGGAGAUUGGUGGUUAUGUUUGGAAUGGUAGAUGUAGGAGCUGUAGCACAAAGAAAGACAAACAAAUUGGCUGAUCAAUUAAUGUUUUCGUCAAAGAUGCAGUCUCCAAUUUUCAGUGGAGAGUUGUAAAACUGGAGCUGUCAAGCCAAAUUGGUUCACAGAAAAUGGUGAUAUGUGUUACGUAUGUGUCAAUUUGUGCCAAAUGUUAUUUAAAAAACACUCACUUUCAAAUGAGAAUUUCAUUGAUGACUGAUAUGAUAAAAUGUAUAAUAUUCUACUUAUAGAUUAGGCUAAUAUAAAAAAAACAUAUUACACAUCCAGACAUAAAUGUGUACAAUGUUCAGACAAAAUUUGAAGCAUUGGUCAAACAAUGUUAGCAUGUAUUUUGAACUUUUCAAGUUGAGAACAUUCAAUGGCAUUGCCCAUGAAUAGACUAAGCACAAUAUGCAACUGUAGGCCCAGUCCUCAUGUAAAAUGUCCCUGAUUGUCUUGAAAGGCGUCCCCCAAAUAAAAUGUAUUAUUCUUAUUCUUACUUGAAACGUAGUACUACAUACACAAUUAGAGACACCUAAUGAUAUAUGUCCAGUUACCGACCAAUGUAAUGCUAAAUGUAUAAUAACAGACAAAGAUGUCUAUUUAUUAGUACUGAAAAAAAAAAAUAUAUAUAUAUAUUUAUUAGUACUGACCAUUAAGAUGGUUACAAUCAUGUACAAUGGAUAUACUGUCGCUUAUAUGUGGCUGGCAUUGAUAUGACAUGACCACUGUCAAGGGGAGUCUGGUUAUUUGGGACAACAAGAGCUUCAGAUACCACAGACAUCAAUCCUGAAUCAGACAUUGUCUGGACGUCUAUCUAGACACCUGUGGUAACAGCGGUUGGACCAGGAACGUAAUGACGGAUGUGGAAUGAUUAGAUUAGUUCAUAUACUUGUCUGUGACAUUGAUUGUCUCUCUGUCGGUUGUCGAUGUAUUUUAACUGAAUCACUUGAAAAAGUGCAACUUAACCCUGUAACGCCAAGUGUAUCAAAACCUCUACGUCGUCAACAUGAUCAACACUUUCACUAAGAACCUGUUGUAUGCAAUCUGAUACAUGUCUUCUUCCCCCUGGUGGAUAGUCUGUGCACUGCAGGCAAAAGCGGGCUUUUUGAAUGACCGAUCAAAAAUGUCUGCUUUCAUAUAGCGACACACCCGUUUUUGAUAGGGAACUCUUUGCUAAUUUUGAAAAAGUUACAGUAAGAAUAACAUUUUUAUUGUUAGUAAUAUUUCUAUAUGAAUAUUUACUGUGUUGAAGCAACUUAUUAUUACUUAAUAUUUUGUACCUUAUUUUAUAGUAAAAUUGUGUUGAUAAUGUGUGUAUCAAAUAUGAUACAGCAGGUAUGUAAGGUAUUAAAUCCCUCAGUCGUCAUUGCAUUGAAUUUCAUGACGCAAUCUGCUUUAUGCCAAAUACACAAUUUAGAUUUUUUUAUAAAACUUAUGAAACAUUGGAUAUAUUUAAGAUAUACAGUGGGAGAACAAGUAUUUGAUACACUGCCGAUUUUGCAGGUUUUCCUACUUGCAAAGCAUGUAGAGGUCUGUAAUUUUUAUCAUAGGUACUCUUCAACUGUGAGAGACGGAAUCUAAAACAAAAAUCCAGAAAAUCACAUUGUAUGAUUUUUCAAUAAAAAAUUUUAGAUUCCGUCACUCACAGUUGAACAGUGUCUACGAUAAAAAUUACAGACUUCUACAUGCUUUGUAAGUGGGAAAACCUGCAAAAUCAGCAGUUCUCCCCAUUAUAUUUACAGUGGAAAUUGAGAUGUGUUUUUCUUUAUAUAUGCAACCCACAGUCAUGAUGAAGUCUUUUAUCAUCGAUUUUCACAAAAAUAACUUCUUGGCUGUCAUAAUAUGUAUGUUAUAUUGACAAAUUCAGAGAAGAAAUUCAGAGUACGAAAUGAAAUUCUGAGUAUGCAAUGUAUUUUUAGAUGGCCAAAGUAGUGUUCAAAAUGUCAUCAGCAUGACAUAGAUAGACGUUUUGACCAGACUAGUGAAUAAGUAGAGGUGUGACAGAACACUAUCCUCUCUAUAACCCCCCGCCACAGCAAAAUAAAAAGGUUUUAUUUUCUUCAGUUUUUAAAAUCAAGUUCCAAACCAACUGAAAUGGUCCAAAUGCAAUAAACAAUGUCUAUUUAGUUUUCUAAAAUAAAAAUUUUAGUGAUCAAUAAAUUACCAUGAAUGCCUGAUUAAUCAAAUAUUUUUUCUGCAUAUAUGUAAAUUAUAUUUAAAAAAUAUCACCAUGGAGUUCCACAAAAACUGUUUCAUUCCACUACAGGAACUGUAAUAACAACCUCAUCCAGAAUAGGGUAACAUUGCUCCAUGAGGCCUUUAAGUGCAGGUAAGGUCCAGUGACAGAAGAUUGUCUUCCGUUACUGGACCUUACCUGCACUUAAAGAUUGUUUUGUAGAAUUCACAGUGGAAUAAAGCAAUAAUAAAUGAAAUGUGAGAAAGUCUGUACACUGGGAGGAAAAUACAUAUGUUGUUGGCACAGGUGCCUAUGCACAUUACCAGGCAAUCACUGGUUGAUCUGACAAUUACUGAUACAAAAGAAUACUUUAAGGGCUACUGUAAAAUGUCCCUCAGUGAGACUACCAGAACACUAGAAAUGGGAUCAAUCUUCUCAGGGCAACAUGCAGUAGUAAAACUCACCACUUUCGUUUCCAACACGGAUGAUGACACAGCGCAGCUCAGAUUGGUACAGGGAACUGGGAAGAUCGACAGAAGUGGAAUUUUUUGCAUACAUUGACACAAUGUUUCUGAGACAAAAGCCACCAAAUCAUUUUUAUUGACACAUUUUUUGAGCAACAAACUAGUAAAUUACAUUCUGAAAGUACGGAGUGUAGGGAAAAAAAUCUCCACAGUUUUUCGUUAUGACUUUCAAAGUUGCCCACACUUUAGUUAGUUUAGUGUCAUAAAAAUGAACGUCAAGACAAAAUGUUUCAGACUCUGUUUAGCCGUGUUAUGUUUUUCAUUCUUGUUGUUGCAUAACAGUGUACAUUUAAAAGAUUUUCCAUAGAUUCAAGUCAAACUGUCAUUAGUCUGACCUGCCAUUCAGUCCCUGAGCGAUGAAGCACACAGGAUAAGCCCCUCCAUCCUCUGUAGUAGGCGUCCAUCUUAGAAGGUACAGUCCUGGGCUGGUGGUGUUCUUUGUGAUGUUCUGAGGUCCACUCACCAACAGCUCUGUAGCCCUUAACACAGGAAGGGAAAAAAAGAAAAUGAACAAUAACCUUUUGGCAUGAUGAGACUCUCAUUCAAAGCGAAUGUCUCUGACUUCCAGAUCCAAACGCAAUGGUCCCACCAAGUGGUACCUAAUAAAACAGUCCAUAUCUAGUGAAUUCUGUCAUCACAAUCUGUACUUGAAACCUAGAGGGAAGCUAAAGCUUUUUUUAUAAACGGAUGGCUAAGUGAGUGAAUGUGGUAGCCAAAUAUCAUUUGGACCUUGUGUGCAAACUGACAAAUAUCCAGGUUCCCUUUUUCAGAGAUUGAGUCAUGGCACUGGUGACUGACCCAACCCUUAGACUAGUGUUUCCUGGUUUCUAUCCUCUUACGUGGACUGGGUAGCCUGAGCUCUGACAGUGAUCUCCAGUGGUUGGUCUGUGGAGGCGAGGAGCACUGCUCCCUGGUCUGGUGUUGGAGACAGGAACAUGGGUAGGUAGUCCCCCUCUGUACAGGACGGAACAGCGGGAUCCACUGGAAGACAACCCAUGGAGGACCACAUCAAUCUGGUCUUUUUUAUCUUAAUUCCGCUUUUCUAAUAAACGGUGAAAUAAAAAUGUACAGACAGCAUUGUAUGCACUUACCUAUGUUUCUAUGUAGAGGAAGUACUAGAUAUUUACCUCUUAUUGCAAAGUGAACGGGAAGUUUGCUGAGUGUAUCACCAGAAGUCCUGUUAGAUUGAGUUCCGUCAUUGUAGAAGAGAGAGAUGGACUGAAUAGGAAAAUCCUCCAUCACCAUCUGAACAACAUACGUUCCAGUGGUAUUACUGAUGCUGGAAAAGGACAAAGUGCAGGACACCUGAGGGAGAGAAGACUCAACACAUUAGUUCAAUGUACCGUUUGUUGGUUCACCACACCUCCUAUGCCUGCUUACCUACCAGGCGCCUCCUGUGUCAGAGACCCAGACACUUAGAGAAUAAGGCAGAAUGGCAAACCACUGGAGUCAGGAAGAGACACGGGAGAUCUGAAGACACUUGCCAGAAACCUCUUAAGAUGACAGGGCCAAAUUAUGGGCACUAAACUGCUUCUGUUGGUAGCGUUUGUUUUAGUGACUUUGGAUCGUUUUAAAGGACAUCAUACAAAACAAUAAACAGUCUAGAGGCAAUUUAAUUUGUUACUCAGCAGAGUUAUGUCUAGAAGCAGUUUAAUUGGAUACUGACCAGCGUGAAGUCCAGAGGCAGUUUAAUUAGAUACUAACCUGCGUGAAGUCUAGAGGCAGUUUAAUGAAAUACUAACCAGAAUGAAGUAUAGAGGCAGUUUAAUUAAAUGCUAACCAGAGUGCAGUGUAGACGCAAUUUAAUUAGAUUCUAACCAGAGUGAAGUCUAGAGGCAGUCUAAUUAAAUACUAAUCAGAGAGGUCUAGAGGCAGUUUAAUUAGAUACUAACCAGAGUGAAGUCUAAAGGCAGUUUAAUUAGAUUCUAAACAAAGUGAAGUCUAGAGGCAGUUUAAUUAAAUUCUAACCAGAGUGAAGCAUAGAGGCAGUUUAAUUAGAUACUAACCAGAGUGAAGUCUAGAGGCAGUUUAAUUAGAUACUAACCAGAGUGCAGUGUAGAGGCAGUUUAUUUAGAUUCUAACCACAGUGAAGUCUAGAGGCAGUUUAUUUAGACUCUAACCACAGUGAAGUCCAGAGGCAGUUUAAUGAGAUUCUAACCACAGUGAAGUCUAGAGGCAGUUUAUUUAGACUCUAACCACAGUGAAGUCCAGAGGCAGUUUAAUGAGAUUCUAACCAGUUGUAUGCUGAAGUCCUGAGGCAUGUUACUUGAUGUAACGUUACUUGCUGUGACACACUCGUUUGGAGGUUCUGCAUAUCUGCAUCUGACCUCAUCUCCAUCUGGGUCAAAGUUCAACAACUGGAAAUGUCUCUGACAAUUAACAGGGACACUGUGCGGGUGCAGAGUGAGGAGAGAAAAGAGAGAGAUUUAUUUGUAAAUGUUUAAUUAUUACAGUGUUUCAAAUGCAUGUGUGUACUCAAUAGUAAAUGACUUCAAGAAAAUAACUGUAAUAGUUGGACUAUUCACCGCAUCAGAGGAAUGACAGUGGUCUGGGGAGAUCGGUUGGCUUUCCCCGUGUCAGACCUGACCCCAAGAUCCACAUGGGUCAACAGCGUCCAGCCAACAACGUCGUUGUCGUUGAAUAUCCAAUUACCGCCGAUAUAACUGUAAAGACACAAACACAGUGGAGAAAGACAAGGUUAGUUAUCACAAUAAAAUCUGUUCUGAAACACUUGAUGGUGAAAAGAUUUAUGGUUUUUAUUAAGAUUUAUUUAUUUUACGGUAUGUGGGUUAAUUAUGUACAGCAGGGCUGCCCAACCCUAUUCCUUAAUCUGGUUAAGAUUUUCAUCCACCAUAUAAUCAGAAUCAGGUGUGCUAAAUUAGAGUGGGAGAGUAAAUCUACAGGACAGUAGAUCUCCAGGAACAGGGUUGGGCAGCCCUGAUAUACAGGUUCUGUAAAUUAACCUCUCUGGCUGUGUCGGCCUGUUUCAUUCAAGGAGAACAUCUGUUCUGUAAAUUAACCUUUCUGGCUGUGUCGGCCUGUUUCUUUCACAGAGAGGAAGACAGGGUGAGUCCGUGGACCCUGCAAGGUCUGAAACAGUGGAGGAACAUGAGACCAGGAAACCAGAGUGAAGUCCCCUGCACCCCACCAUGGUUGAUAUAAUCCUGAAGAAUGUCCCACUACACACAGUUCAGGACCUGUACGACACCGUGGUUGAUAUAAUCCUGAAGACUGUCCCACUACACACAGAUCAGGACCUGUACGACACCAUUGUUGAUAUAAUCCUGAA